UACGUAGGGGGCGAGCGUUGUCCGGAAUCAUUGGGCGUAAAGCGCGUGUAGGCGGCUCGGCAAGUCUGGUGUGAAAUCUUGGGGCUCAACUCCAAGCCUGCACCGGAAACUGCCUUGCUUGAGUCCGGGAGGGGAGAGCGGAAUUCCUAGUGUAGCGGUGAAAUGCGCAGAUAUUAGGAAGAACACCGGUGGCGAAGGCGGCUCUCUGGAACGGUACUGACGCUGAGACGCGAAAGCGUGGGGAGCGAACAGGAUUAGAUACCCUGGUAGUCCACGCCGUAAACGAUGGGCACUAGAUGUGGGCGGUGUCGACUCCGUCCGUGUCGUAGCUAACGCAUUAGGUGCCCCGCCUGGGGAGUACGGCCGCAAGGCUA
rnacentral:rRNA from 1 species